AUGCGCAGGGCGGGGCCGCUGACCCGCCCCCGCCAUCCCUGCAACUGGAGGUGGGGAUUUUGGAAAGAUGCGCCUGAGAUUACUUAUGCUCGUCCUCGGAAACCCAAGCGGCACAGGAAAGUCCAAAAAGGAAGCAAAGGCGAGCAUCCGAAGUCUCACCCAAAAAUAACUACUGCUGCGUAUUAUAGCGUAUUAUAAUUGGGGAAACAGCAUUCCAAUCUUCUCUCCAUGCACAGGCCGGGCGCGAUGGCUCAUACCUGUAAUCCCAGCAUUUUGGGAAGCCAAGGUGGACGGAUCACCUGAGGUCAAAAGUUCGAGACCAGCCUGGCCAAAAUGGUGAAACCCCGUCUCUACUCAAAAUACAAAAUUAGGCCAUACGCGGUGGCUCACGCCUGUAAUCCCAGCACUUUGGGAGGCCGAGGCAGGUGGAUCACCUGAGGUCAGGAGUUCAAGACCAGCCUGACCAACGUGGUGAAACCCCAUCUCUACUAAAAAUACAAAAAUUAACUGGGCGUGGUGGCGGGCACCUGUAAUCCCAGCUACUCGGGAGUCUGAGGCCGGAGAAUCUCUUGAAGCGAAGAGGCGGAGGUUAGAAUGAACCGAGUUGGUGCCACUGCACUCCAGUCUGGGCAACAGAGUGAGACUUCAUCUCAAAAAAAAAAAAAAAAAAGACAUCACAUCACAGAUUCUAAGGAUUUUUGGAGUUGGAUGCCAGGAAACCGGAAGACUAAAUGUAUACAUAUUUCACAACAUCACAAUUACCGUGACAGUUUUUUUAAACUAUGUUAAAUUUCAUUAAUUGAUUAAAUUAUGUUAGUAAUUGUAUUAGUUUGCUCAGGGUGCCAUUGUAACUACCCAACAUAUUGUCCCUGCCCACUGCCUAGACUUUAUCAAGACAGGGGAAUUGCAAUAAAGAGUUUAAUUCACACAGAGCCAGCUUGUACAGGUUACUGAGGUUUUAUUACUACUCAAAAAAAAUCAGUGUCCUUGAGAAUUCAGGGAUCAGAGUUUUUUGUUUUUUGUUUUUUGUUUUUGAGUCCGAAUCUCACUCUGUCACCCACACUGGAGUGCAGUGGCGUGAUCUCGGCUCACUGCAACCUCCACCUCCUGGGUUCCAGUGAUUCUCCUGCCUCAGCCUCCCGGGUAGCUGGGACUACAGGCGCACACUACCAUGCCUGGCUAAUUUUGUAUUUUUCAUAGAGACGGAGUUUCUCCAUGUUGGUCAGGCUGGUCUUGAACUCCCUCAGGAGUUCAAGAUCACCUCAGGUGAUCUGCCCACCUGGGCCUCCCCAAAGUGCUGGGACUAUAGAUGUGAGCCACCAUGCCCGGCUGGGGAUCCGCGGUUUUAAGGAUAAUUUGGUGGGUAUGGGGUCAGAAAGUAGGGAGUGUUGAUUGGUUGGGUCAGAGGUGAAAUGAUAGGGAGUCAAAACUGUCCUCUUGUGCUGAGUCGGUUCCUGGGUGGGGGCCACAAGAUAUGAGCCAGUUUAUCAAUCUGGGUGGUGCCAGCUGAUCCAUGGAGUGCAGAGUCUGCAAAAUAUCUCAAGCACUGAUCUGUUUUUUAAUAGUGAUGUUAUCCUGAGAAGCAAUUUGGGAGGUUUAGAAUCUUGUAGCCUCCAGCUACAUGACUCCUAAACCAUAAUUUCUAAUCUUAUGGCUAAUUUGUUAGUCCUGAAAAGGCAGUCUUGUCCCCAGGUAGGAAGGGAGUUUGUUUUGCAAAGGGCUGUUAUCAUCUUUGUUUCAAAGCUAAACUAUAAACUAAGCGCCUCCCGAAGUUAUUUCAGCCUACACCCAGGAAUGAACAAGGACAGCUUGGAGGUUAGAAGCAAGAUGGGUUCAGUUAAGUCCGAUCUCUUUAACUGUAAUAAUUAUCUCAGUUAUAAGAAAAUAUAACACAACAAAAUCUCUCACAG
rnacentral:sRNA from 1 species